GACGUAGGGCGCGAGCGUUGUCCGGAUUUAUUGGGCGUAAAGAGCUCGUAGGCGGCUUGUCGCGUCGACUGUGAAAACCCGUGGCUCAACCAUGUGGUCUGCAGUCGAUACGGGCAGGCUAGAAUUCGGUAGGGGAGACUGGAAUUCCUGGUGUAGCGGUGAAAUGCGCAGAUAUCAGGAGGAACACCGGUGGCGAAGGCAGCUCUCUGGGACGGUACUGACGCUGAGACGCGAAAGCGUGGGGAGCGAACAGG
rnacentral:rRNA from 1 species